rnacentral:rRNA from 1 species
UACGGAGGGUGCAAGCGUUAUCCGGAUUCACUGGGUUUAAAGGGUGCGUAGGCGGGUAAGUAAGUCCGUGGUGAAAUCUCUGAGCUUAACUCAGAAACUGCCGUGGAUACUAUUUGCCUUGAAUAUUGUGGAGGUGAGCGGAAUAUGUCAUGUAGCGGUGAAAUGCUUAGAUAUGAUGUAGAACACCGAUUGCGAAGGCAGCUCACUAAACAGACAUUGACGCUGAGGCACGAAAGCGUGGGGAUCAAACAGG